rnacentral:rRNA from 1 species
GGCCUAACACAUGCAAGUCGAACGGCAGCGCGGGGCAACCUGGCGGCGAGUGGCGAACGGGUGAGUAAUAUAUCGGAACGUACCCUGGAGUGGGGGAUAACGUAGCGAAAGUUACGCUAAUACCGCAUACGAUCUAAGGAUGAAAGUGGGGGAUUCGCAAGAACCUCAUGCUCCUGGAGCGGCCGAUAUCUGAUUAGCUAGUUGGUGGGGUAAAGGCCUACCAAGGCAUCGAUCAGUAGCUGGUCUGAGAGGACGACCAGCCACACUGGAACUGAGACACGGUCCAGACUCCUACGGGAGGCAGCAGUGGGGAAUUUUGGACAAUGGGCGAAAGCCUGAUCCAGCAAUGCCGCGUGAGUGAAGAAGGCCUUCGGGUUGUAAAGCUCUUUUGUCAGGGAAGAAACGGUGAGGGCUAAUAUCCCUUGCUAAUGACGGUACCUGAAGAAUAAGCACCGGCUAACUACGUGCCAGCAGCCGCGGUAAUACGUAGGGUGCAAGCGUUAAUCGGAAUUACUGGGCGUAAAGCGUGCGCAGGCGGUUUUGUAAGUCUGUCGUGAAAUCCCCGGGCUCAACCUGGGAAUUGCGAUGGAGACUGCAAGGCUAGAAUCUGGCAGAGGGGGGUAGAAUUCCACGUGUAGCAGUGAAAUGCGUAGAGAUGUGGAGGAACACCGAUGGCGAAGGCAGCCCCCUGGGUCAAGAUUGACGCUCAUGCACGAAAGCGUGGGGAGCAAACAGGAUUAGAUACCCUGGUAGUCCACGCCCUAAACGAUGUCUACUAGUUGUCGGGUUUUAAUUAACUUGGUAACGCAGCUAACGCGUGAAGUAGACCGCCUGGGGAGUACGGUCGCAAGAUUAAAACUCAAAGGAAUUGACGGGGACCCG